CCUACAUUUUCCUGUUUCCAUUCAUUUACUCAGUGUACAAAGAUCUCAUGUGGCAGGUUGAGCCAGUGUCCUGCUGGAUAGUGGGGUACCAUGAACGAGAGAAAGGUGGGAAGAAGCUCAGCCCAGUGGGAAAGGCUGCUCUUGAAAGUUUAACAAGAGGAAUGGUUCAAUGGGAGAAGUCACUGUGUGUGCAUGUGUAUGUGUGUGUGAGUGUGUGUGUAUGUGUGCAUGUGUGUGCGUGUGUGUGCGUGUGCAUGUGUGUGCAGGGGAGGGGGAAUUUCUUUUUGAAGAGGUGGUAACGGAUCACAUCUCUAAGAAGGAGCUGGUUUGGUUUAAAUGGGAAUUAAAGGCGUGAACAGAUGGGGUCCAUUUCUCCAGAUGUUGAGAAUAAUGUAUCCGGAGUUCCUGAGGAGCAAGAAUGAGAGCCUGUUUCCUGGGAGGAAACGAAAAAUAAACAGGAGUAGCACAGAAGAUUGAGAUUCUGAGACGCGGAAUCUCUGGUUUCAGAGACGAGUGAUGGGACGUGGUGGUGAGCGAGAAGGGAGACAACCGUUUGACUCCAUCCCUUCUGCUUGAGUCCGUACUCUGAGCCAGAGCUAGAGCAGCCUUUUCAAGACACAAGAAUCUGUACGGUACAGCUUUAAUCUGCACACACCAGGGACUUGACCUGCCUAGGGGUGCGGAAGGAAUGCAGAAAUGACAGACAGACACACAGCAAAGCAGGGGUCUGCUGGAGUGGUACUGGGAUGGAGAAACCUCAGCAUCCUGGGAGCUCAGAAUGUGUAUUACAUACAGUUGAACGGAGAGGAGCCAGUCACCUUAAGAAGAUCCAGGGCGAGAACCCCUGGACAGGAACUGAUCUCCCCUUGCGACAGCCAACACCAAGUCGCCAGCUGUCUGACAGACUUCCUCCGGAGCUGCCCAGUCCAGUGAUGGCUGUGGUUCAGUUCCAGACGACACUGAACUGAACCUCAGCAGGAACAGCAAGCCAGGCUGCCCAGCUGUCACUCCCAAAUCCUCACUCACAAAAGCCGCAGAGAGGAAAGCAGUAGCUAGUGCAGUUUGAAGCCACCAAAUUCGGAGUGAUUUGCUCUGCAAUAAAAGAUGCUAGUAUCCAAGUAGGCACGGUGUACAUGACUGUAAUCCCAUAACCUGGGAGGCUGAGGCAGCAAGUGGUCAGUUUGGGGCCAUCCUGGUUUACACAGCAAGGCCUUUUCUAAGAAACCAAAACCCAAACCAAGAGCUAGUUCAGUCUUCCCUGCUCUAGCUGCUUUCCCUAGUUGGUUUCAGCCACACAGACAUACUUCUGAUUCUCCUCUUCGGUCCAGCUUCCCCUUCACGUGUUCCAGCAGCUCGCUGUGUAUGUCCUCUAAGGCUCUGUUCAAAUGGUCCAGCGCUCCAUGGAUUUCUUCUUUGACCCUUUGUUCCACCUAUUUCCCCAGCACCUACCCUCUGACAUACUGCAAGCUUGCUUGCUUAUUUGUGUAUCGGCCAUCUUCUAGAAGGUAAGACCCUAAGAGGACAGGGGCUCUUUAUACCUGAUUCAGUGUUGAGUCCCUAGGGCCUAGGGUGCUUGUUAUUUCAAAACAACCAACAAAUAAUUACUGGAAAUACUGAAUGAGACAAGAAAUGGAGGAAAUGUCACUGUUGCAUAAGGGCAUUGGAGGGCACAUUGAUUGCUAGCACCAACGGACGGCCAUGGGAGGAUUGUCCUGUGUGUGCUUGCCCAGGAUCACAUUAAAUAACCCCACACACUGUGUAUUUACAUUUUGAUACAGGUGCCCUAUAGGGAAUUCUUAUGGGUAACAAGGAUUUUUAACUUCACCUGAAUCCUAACUAUAUGACUUAGGUCAAGUGCCUACAUUUUCAAGCCAAGAAAUAACAGCUUGUUAGCAGAAUUGUAAUAAUAUUCUUAAAAUUAUUUCAAAAUAUGGCUUGCAUAAAACGUUCCGCAGCUAAGUAAUCUUUAGAAACACUAUAUAUUUUUCUUCCUCUAGAGGACUCUUAGAGUGCAUGGCACAUGCAAAGUGGAGAAAUAAGUCAUCAUUCCUCACGUUUACUUACCUAAAGCAUGCUUUCUUCUUGGCUGGAAUUCCAAUCAACAAUUCUGGUACCCAGUGAGGUCUUCACGUGUCAGGGUCUGUACCUAUCAUAUCUCAUCACACCCUGUGCCUGGAUGAAGUAACUAGUACUACCAUCACCCCACUUCCUACAUGAGGGCAUGGAGAGAGAUUAAAUAACCUGCCCGAUGUUCUAUUGUAAAUCCAACAACAAUAACAGGAUUGGCUUCCAGAGCACAUCAGCCCAGCAGGAUUGUGAACGAGAAACCCUAGCUCCUUAACUGAUAUUGAGACUUUGAAAAUUAACCCCCUUUAUUAGCACUAAUAGUAAUCAUGUACUCCGCUUUCAAGGAAAACAACAUCUCAGUAUGUUUACUCUGCAAGGAGGCGUUUGAACCGCACCCUGUAUUAAUUACGGUUUUAUUGUUGUGAUUAAGACACCCUGACCAAGGCAACUUACAGAAGAAAGGACUUAUUUGGGCUUACAGUUCCAGAGGGUUAAAGUCCAUGGGGGUGGAGGUGGCAGGCACGGGGGCUGAAACAGCAAGUUGAAAGUGCAUAUCCUGAACUGCAAACCGGAAUCUGAGAGAGUAAACAGGAAGGACAAAGAACUUUAAAACCGCAAAGCCUACUCCCCGCAGUGAUAUUCUUCCCCCAGCAAGAUUACACCUUCCAAACCUAUCCAAACACCUGAGCCUGUGGGGGACCACUCUUAUUCAAACCAUUACUCUCCCCCGACAGAUGGAUCUCAAAUGCUUUGAUUACUGAUAAGAGCUUGAGCUAUUGUAUUUCUAAAUUUGUCUGUUUUGUGUAUGUAUAUAUACAUGUUAUGUUUGUAUGUGCGUGUGUGUUUGAUUGCAUGUGCACAUGUGUGCACAUAUGUGGAGACCAUAGCUCGACACCACACUUCUUCCUCAAUCGUUUGUCAUCUUAUAUUUUUAGACAAGGUCUCUUACUGAGUCUAGAGCUCACUGCUUAACUAGACUGACUGCCCAGCAAGCCCCGUGUCCUCCUAUGUCACCCCAGAAACCCUGGAAUUACAGAUGUA